rnacentral:rRNA from 1 species
CUUGGUCAUUUAGAGGAAGUAAAAGUCGUAACAAGGUUUCCGUAGGUGAACCUGCGGAAGGAUCAUUACCUAGAGUUGUAGGCUUUGCCUGCUAUCUCUUACCCAUGUCUUUUGAGUACCUUCGUUUCCUCGGCGGGUCCGCCCGCCGAUUGGACAAUUUAAACCAUUUGCAGUUGCAAUCAGCGUCUGAAAAAACUUAAUAGUUACAACUUUCAACAACGGAUCUCUUGGUUCUGGCAUCGAUGAAGAACGCAGCGAAAUGCGAUAAGUAAUGUGAAUUGCAGAAUUCAGUGAAUCAUCGAAUCUUUGAACGCACAUUGCGCCCCCUGGUAUUCCGGGGGGCAUGCCUGUUCGAGCGUCAUUUCACCACUCAAGCCUCGCUUGGUAUUGGGCGACGCGGUCCGCCGCGCGCCUCAAAUCGACCGGGGGGGUCUUCCGUCCCCUCAGCGUUGUGGAAACUAUUCGCUAAAGGGUGCCGCGGGAGGUCACGCCGCAAAACAACGCCAUUUCUAAGGUUGACCUCGGAUCAGGUAGGGAUACCCACUGAACUUAAGCAUAUCAAUAAGCGGAGGA